UAUUCAUGCAGCGGCUGAUUGAGCUCCACUGUGCCGGGCGGGGCUCGGCGGGAGCGGGCAGGAACAGCCAGGCUGACAGAGGCUACACACACACACACACACACACACACACACACACACACACACACACACGUAUGUGCAAUUCAUCUCAUCUACAUAAACAUGCCCUCUAUGUUAUAUCACACCUCACCUCCAGCCGUGCCAUCAUAAACACAGCCGAGCCCCUUCCCUCAGGCACCUACCUGCCCUCAGAGCAGUUUCCCAGCACCCAUAGACCUGCUUCUCUACACAACAUAAGGCCUGCCUUUCUGAUUUUCCCCUUAUGGAUUCUACACCGGUCCUCAGAUACAAACACAAGAAUCCUUCAUCUGCCUUUCCUGCAGGCACACUCUCCAGGAUGCAUGCACUCCAAAUCUGUACAGUCGCACGCACAAAAUGCCCAGGCUCACAAUCGCACCCUCCUACAGAGCUACCCAGAUUCACAC
rnacentral:lncRNA from 10 species